AGGCCCCGGAAACGACGUCCUGCUGACGUGACGCGCUUUGGGACUGUGCUCGGGCCCCGAACCAGGAACCGCGAGCGCAGACUGCGCGUGGCCCUCACGGCCAGGACGGGCUCCCGUCCCUGGUUCUCUAAGUGCCUGGGAAACAGUUUUCUUUUGAGCUGUUAAGAAGAUCACCAUUAUAAGAAAAACAGGAAAGGAGUCAGAAGACCAGGAUAAUAGUCUGGUCAUUCCUUGGCCAAGAACACACCGGGAACGGAGGAUGCCUCCCACCCUGACAUCUUUGGUGUGGGGACUCGGAUUUCCCUGACAGAGCGACUUGAGUCCCGGAGCUCUCGGACAGCCAGCAUUCAGGUCUAUCCAGCUGCCAACAUAGAGAAUUAUCAUCAUUAUCUCACACAUCUCAUGGGGAGGCCUCCAUGUCUAUGAAUUUAGCAGUAAAACGGAUCAUCUGAAGUUGCAAAUUGAAGAUAGUCGCCAGGUGCAAAGGGAACAGGAAGAGAAUCAUGGAAAUGGACACCUGGCACCGCUGGACACUGAUAGUUUCCAUCACAAGAAUCCAUGGAGGAAAGCUUGGCAAGUUAUCAAUUCACCCUUCCUCUUCUGUGUGUGUCUCUGCUGUUCCAAACUCUCCACGCUGUGCCACGCUGUCCCUCACUGAUCUGGACAGCAGCGUAACUCCCAGCCAUCCUGGCUGGCAUCUGGGCACGGUUGCCUUUUGUUUAGAGGGCAUAACCAGAGGUGUGCAACACAGUGGGCUCUCAUUCAUGGCAGUCGUGUUUUAUA